rnacentral:lncRNA from 10 species
UGAUAAGAUCUAUGUCCUGGAAAUAAAGAAGACCCCUUUCUCUGUUGCAUAGAGGAUGAAUUACAGAGAGGUGGAUAGUGGACAAGAAGAGACAGGCUGAUGCAACAAGCAGCAGAUAAAGAUUAAUGUCCCUUCCCUGUUUGAGAGUGGUGGUCCAAAGAUUAAUGAAGUCAGAAUCCCUUGGAGAUAACAUGGCAAAAGAAGGGUCAGGAUGGUGGUGGAGUAAAAGAAGGGUCAGGAUGGUGGUGGAGUUGGAAACAGUAUUGUUUGAGGACCAGUUGAGAAAGCUGCAUGAUGGAGCAGCUUGAAGAGGCUACAAUUAGGACCAAUGGGUGGAACUUCAAGGGAGGCAAAUGCAAAUGUAAUCUCAAGGAAUGGUAGAACUUUUCAACAGAGUUGCCUCCCCAUCUCAAAAGAAUUCUCCAUGGACUACUUACUGCAGGAGAAUACUGGGAUUUCCUCAACUGAAUAUAGCAAGCAGGAGAGGAGAGAAAAAGCAUGAACAGUGGAUUAGUAGUAAGAAUUCUUGACCAGCCUGG